UCGCAGCCUUUGCCUUUGCCUCUUCAGGUCUUCCUCCUGGCUCCCUUGAAGCUGCCACGCGGGACCACCCUGUGCCCAAGACCCCCCUCCACGUGGCACCCCUCCCCCCGUCGUAGUGGGAGUCCCUGGAAGGCAGCCAGCGCCCUGCUCCCCCCAAGGGCUUCUUCCCGAAUUGUUGACUGACUGACUUGACCAACGCAGGAGUAGGGAGUUGCUGGGGGUGGAACCAGGAUCCAGCCCUUCCCCAAGAUAGUAGCCUGGAGGAGAAGGAAGGAGAGACUUCUGGAGUCCUGGCUGCCAGGUUUCAGGUAAGUGCAAAUUCUCUCUCUCUCUCUCUCUCUCUCUCUCUCUCUCUCUCUCUCUCUCUCUCUCUCUCUCUCUCUCUCUCUCUCUCUCUCUCUCUCUCUCUCUCUAUUUCUCUCUCUCUCAGAAAUUUGUGGUCAUUGAAAGAAUCAAAUCAAUGGUUAACAUGUGGGAAAAGUUCUUUACAUUAAGCUAUAGAAAUAAG
rnacentral:lncRNA from 1 species